rnacentral:rRNA from 1 species
UACUAGAACUUUCCAGAGAUGGAUUGGUGCCUUCGGGAACUUAGAUACAGGUGCUGCAUGGCUGUCGUCAGCUCGUGUCGUGAGAUGUUGGGUUAAGUCCGCAACGAGCGCAACCCUUUUCCUUAUUUUGCCAGCGGGUAAUGCCGGGAACUUUAAGGAUACUGCCAGUGACAAACUGGAGGAAGGCGGGGACGACGUCAAGUCAUCAUGGCCCUUACGGCCAGGGCUACACACGUGCUACAAUGGUCGGUACAAAGGGUUGCUACCUCGCGAGAGGAUGCUAAUCUCAAAAAGCCGAUCGUAGUCCGGAUCGCAGUCUGCAACUCGACUGCGUGAAGUCGGAAUCGCUAGUAAUCGCGGAUCAGAAUGCCGCGGUGAAUACGUUCCCGGGCCUUGUACACACCGCCCGUCACACCAUGGGAGUUUGUUGCACCAGAAGUAGGUAGUCUAACCGCAAGGAGGACGCUUACCACGGUGUGGCCGAUGACUGGGGUGAAGUCGUAACAAGGUAGGCGUAGAUGA